CGGGCGGGUGCUGGGAUGCCAGGCGUGUAGCCCGCCCCGAUGAAAUCGAUUUUUUUCUUCACACAGGCUCACAGCCCAGAGCGGGAGGACGCAGUAGAGGCACACAGGAGUGCCUCUGGGAGCCAUGACGGCGGGGCCACGAGCUCCAGGAACUCGGGAUGGAACUGGCUGGCUGGCUGGCUGGCUGGCUGGAUGGAUGGAUGGACUGACGGUGGGUGCCAGUGGAAAAGGAAAUACAGUGAAUGCCAGGAGGAGCGAAAAGCUUCCCACAGGUGUUUAUCACACGGCCUGGAUUCAAGGCCAAACUGUACAUCACGGUGGUUACCGACUCCUCUCCUCAUCACUGUCCCGCGGCUGUCAUCCCUUGCGCGUCGAGGUGUCUUGUGUGGUCUCAGAGGACCCCAGUCACUGGAGAGGCCAGGGGUGGUGAUGCGCGCCCGUCUUCGCCGCCUCUAG
rnacentral:lncRNA from 1 species